rnacentral:rRNA from 1 species
AGAGUUUGAUCAUGGCUCAGGAUGAACGCUAGCUACAGGCUUAACACAUGCAAGUCGAGGGGAAACGACAUCGAAAGCUUGCUUUUGAUGGGCGUCGACCGGCGCACGGGUGAGUAACGCGUAUCCAACCUGCCCAUCACUUGGGGAUAACCUUGCGAAAGUAAGACUAAAUACCCAAUGACGUCUCUAGAAGACAUCUGAAAGAGAUUAAAGAUUUAUCGGUGAUGGAUGGGGAUGCGUCCGAUUAGCUUGUUGGCGGGGUAACGGCCACCAAGGCGACGAUCAGUAGGGGUUCUGAGAGGAAGGUCCCCCANAUUGGAACUGAGACACGGUCCAAACUCCUACGGAGGCA